CCUACUGGAGUCAGCAGUGAGGAAUAUUGGUCAAUGGACGAGCGUCUGAACCAGCCAAGUAGCGUGAAGGAUGACUGCCCUCUGGGUUGUACACUUCUUUUAUAUGGGAGUAAAAUGUUCCACGUGUGGGAUUUUGUAUGUACCAUAUGAAUAAGGAUCGGCUAACUCCGUGCCAGCAGCCGCGGUAAUACGGAGGAUCCGAUCGUUAUCCGGAUGUAUUGGGUUUUAAGGGAGCGUAGGUGGAUUGUUAAGUCAGUUGUGAAAGUUUUGGGCUCAACCGUAAAAUUGCAGUUGAAACUGGCAGUCUUGAGUACAGUAGAGGUGAGCGGAAGUCGUGGUGUAGCGGGGAAAUGCUUAGAUAUCACGAAGAACUCCGAUUGCGAAGGCAGCUCACUGGACUGCAACUGACACUGAGGCUCGAAAGUGUGGGUAUCAAACAGGAUUAGAUACCCGUGUAGUC
rnacentral:rRNA from 1 species